rnacentral:rRNA from 1 species
GACGAACGCUGGCGGCGUGCUUAACACAUGCAAGUCGAACGGAAAGGCCCUGCUUUUGUGGGGUGCUCGAGUGGCGAACGGGUGAGUAACACGUGAGUAACCUGCCCUUGACUUUGGGAUAACUUCAGGAAACUGGGGCUAAUACCGGAUAGGAGCUCCUGCUGCAUGGUGGGGGUUGGAAAGUUUCGGCGGUUGGGGAUGGACUCGCGGCUUAUCAGCUUGUUGGUGGGGUAGUGGCUUACCAAGGCUUUGACGGGUAGCCGGCCUGAGAGGGUGACCGGCCACUUUGGGCCUGCGAUACGGCCCAGACUCCUACGGGAGGCAGCAGUGGGGAAUAUUGCACAAUGGGCGGAAGCCUGAUGCAGCAACGCCGCGUGCGGGAUGACGGCCUUCGGGUUGUAAACCGCUUUCGCCUGUGACGAAGCGUGAGUGACGGUAAUGGGUAAAGAAGCACCGGCUAACUACGUG